GUGUGUGAAUUACGUUCCGAGCACCAAGUUUUUGGCGCCGUUGUUAAGGAUCACAAUUUCAUGCACCACUCAUGCAUACUGAUACAGAAAGCAGUUUCAUGAUUCUGUUUGCUGUUAGUUUCAGCCAUGGAUAUGUAGAAUCAAACUCCAACCCUUGACACUGAGGAAGACAAAUAUGCUUCCCUUUCUAACUUGCUUCAAGAAUUCACAACUAUUCCUAAUAUUGACAAGGCUUGGCUUUUUAACUCUCAUUCAACUAUUCCCAAUACACUUUUCUUGGCUUUCUUGACAUGAAAUGGUAAAUGUUGAUGCUUAGAUCAAUGUAUUCUGAAUAUAAGAUUGUUCUUGAUAGGACAAAGUCCCUGCCUUCUCUCCAAAGAAAGCAAAAAGCUUCAUUGAUAAUGAAUUGGGAGCUCCCAUUAGCUUACUGUUUAGGGAGUUUGAAGAUCGGCCAAUAGCCGCUGCUAGUCUUGGUCAGGUUCAUCGUGCUAUCCUGCAUUGGGUUACUUGUAAGUCUAAUUUCUGUUUGAUUGUGUUAAUUCUCUUUUAUUAUAUGGUUUGAAACUCUCUAUUAUGUCAAUUCAUUCUUGAUCUCAGUUCAAAAUUUUUUUGAAGAUAUUCUGGAUAUUUAAAAAACAUACUAUGCUAUUAUAAAGAUCUAUUUAUUUAGUUUUUAGUUCUACUUUGAGUUUUGACUGAUUUCUGUUUCAAUGUAUUGUAAUGUUGGUAUGCAAAUUAGUGUUGUUGGUUCUGCACUGGUUCCUGUUUGAUUUGGAUA